CCAGGGCAUCUAAUCUAACAGGGAUGAAAAAAUUAUUUGAAUAUGCCAAUGAGCAAGUACCUAUAACCAAUGACGAAAGCUGGUCUCACAUGUAGGACUGUGGGCGAUGAAGGCCAUUUCUGGUUGCAGUGCUGCUGGACAGAGGCAUGGGGCUUGGAGAGUGGCUAGUACAUGGUUGGCUGGCGCAUGGCUGAUUUGUACACAGCCAGCUGUGCACUUAGUUGGCCGUCCGCAGGUGGCUGUCUGCGGCAGUGCAUGGCAGGGGGCAGUGAGGCUAGGCAGUGUGUGCAGCAGUGGGGGCACGUGUCUGAGUGGUUGCACGCAGCAGUGAAUUUAGCGCUGCUGGGUGGUUUUCGAGCUGAAGGCUGGUUGGUGAUGAUGGUUUCCAGCUAUGAAUGCUGGUUUAGGAUUUCUGGGUUGUCCACAGUUAAGGCCAAAAAAAUUAGGAAUCUUGAAAGGUGCAACAAUGAAGCCUGCACAUUGGUUGGAAAUUGCAGUAAUAAAGGAUGCAGAUAAUUUUAAAGAAGGUGG
rnacentral:lncRNA from 1 species